rnacentral:tRNA from 1 species
AAGAAAGUGGCAGAGUGGUUAUGUGGCUGGCUUGAAACCAGUUUAUGGGGGUUCAAUUCCCUCUUUUCUCG